GUAAGCGUGCAUCUUGCUCCUCAAUAGAUUCAAUCUCCCACCCGAAAAACCCCUCGUUGUAUACAUCCUAUCGCAUGGCUCCCCUUUACAACUCAUUGGUGUAGUAGCCCUAUCCCACCCUUCCGCCAUCAUCGCCCUCCUCCGGAUUGAUCCAGGUGGCGAAGAACUUUAGAAAGAUCCGACCAUCCCCGAUGUCGCCCCUCUCUCAUCACCAGAAAGUGUUCGGAAAGCCCUCACUGAUCCUCCACGAGUUCUAAUCGGAUGUUGUGAUUGAUCGGCUCUCAGGUUUACAACAUCUAAAACCCUUAUUGACCAAAAAAUCGUCGUCGUCCUCAAGGGCUCCUCCAAUGUCGGAGGCGUUGUUACCCUCACUCAAGAAGACAAUGAAGUUGAUGCUUGAAGACACAAAACUGAAAGAAAUUAUUAGAAACAUUAUUCUUUUAGAAUGUAUUAAUGUCUUUUUAGAUUUUGAUGUUUUUUCCCGAUCUGAAAGUUUUUUUUAGUUUUAUUCUUUAACAAUAAAUAUAAUUCUUAGCAAUUGUUAUCCGUAUUCUAUAAGAAUUAAUGUAAUUUUUGUUUUUAUUCUUCAA